GAUGAACGCUGGCGGCGUGCCUAAUACAUGCAAGUCGAGCGAACGGACGAGACGCUUGCUUCUCUGAUGUUAGCGGCGGACGGGUGAGUAACACGUGGAUCACCUACCUAUAAGACUGGGAUAACUUCGGGAAACCGGAGCUAAUACCGGAUAAUAUCUUGAACCGCAUGGUUCAAAAGUAAAAGACGGUCUUGCUGUCACUUAUAGCUGGAUCCGCGCUGCAUUAGCUAGUUGGUAAGGUAACGGCUUACCAAGGCAACGAUGCAUAGCCGACCUGAGAGGGUGAUCGGCCACACUGGAACUGAGACACGGUCCAGACUCCUAAGGGAGGCAGCAGUAGGGAAUCUGCCGCAAUGGUCGAAAGCCUGACGGAGCAACGCCGCGUGAGUGAUGAAGGUCUUCGGAUCGUAAAACUCUGUUAUUAGGGAAGAACAUAUGUGUAAGUAACUGUGCACAUCUUGACGGUACCUAAUCAGAAAGCCACGGCUAACUACGUG
rnacentral:rRNA from 1 species